CUAACAGAAUAAUAAUGUUAGCAUGGUUUAAUCAGAGGUCAGCUGAGGACAUAUUACCUUGUUUCUCUACUUACAAACAAGGGAAGGUC
rfam:Triticum urartu cultivar G1812 contig1127226, whole genome shotgun sequence.